rnacentral:rRNA from 1 species
AAUCAACCGAGAUUCCCCCAGUAGCGGCGAGCGAACGGGGAGCAGCCCAGAGUCUGAAUCAGCUUGUGUGUUAGUGGAAGCGUCUGGAAAGUCGCACGGUACAGGGUGACAGUCCCGUACACGAAAACACACAGGUUGUGAACUCGAAGAGUAGGGCGGGACACGUGGUAUCCUGUCUGAAUAUGGGGGGACCAUCCUCCAAGGCUAAAUACUCCUGACUGACCGAUAGUGAACCAGUACCGUGAGGGAAAGGC